CUCAGUUCAGAUUGCAGGCUGCAACUCGCCUGCAUGAAGUCGGAAUUGCUAGUAAUCGCGGAUCAGCAUGCCGCGGUGAAUACGUUCCCGGGCCUUGUACACACCGCCCGUCACACCAUGAGAGUUUGUAACACCCAAAGCCGGUGGGGUAACCUUUUGGAGCCAGCCGUCUAAGGUGGGACAGAUGAUUAGGGUGAAGUCGUAACAAGGUAGC
rnacentral:rRNA from 1 species